AUUGAACGCUGGCGGCAGGCCUAACACAUGCAAGUCGAACGAGUGGCGGACGGGUGAGUAAUGUCUGGGAAACUGCCUGAUGGAGGGGGAUAACUACUGGAAACGGUAGCUAAUACCGCAUACCAUCGGAUGUGCCCAGAUGGGAUUAGUUAGUAGGUGGGGUAACGGCUCACCUAGGCGACGAUCCCUAGCUGGUCUGAGAGGAUGACCAGCCAAACUGGAACGGAGACACGUUCCGGACUCCUCAGGGAGUCAGCAGGGGGAAAUAUUGCACAAUGGGCGCAAGCCUGAUGCAGCCAUGCCGCGUGUAUGAAGAAGGCCUUCGGGUUGUAAAGUACUUUCAGCGGGAAGGCGUUACCCGCAGAAGAAGCACCGGCUAACUCCGUGCCAGCAGCCGCGGUAAUAC
rnacentral:rRNA from 1 species